rnacentral:rRNA from 1 species
AACGCUAGCUACAGGCUUAACACAUGCAAGUCGAGGGGAAACGAUAUUGGAAGCUUGCUUCCGAUAGGCGUCGACCGGCGCACGGGUGAGUAACGCGUAUCCAACCUGCCCGUCACUUGGGAAUAACCUUGCGAAAGUAAGACUAAUGCCCAAUGACAUUUAUAGAAGGCAUCGGAAAUGAAUUAAAGAUUUAUCGGUGAUGGAUGGGGAUGCGUCUGAUUAGCUUGUUGGCGGGGUAACGGCCCACCAAGGCGACGAUCAGUAGGGGUUCUGAGAGGAAGGUCCCCCACAUUGGAACUGAGACACGGUCCAAACUCCUACGGGAGGCAGCAGUGAGGAAUAUUGGUCAAUGGGCGAGAGCCUGAACCAGCCAAGUAGCGUGCAGGAAGACGGCCCUAUGGGUUGUAAACUGCUUUUAUAGGGGAAUAAAGUGAGCCACGUGUGGUUUUUUGCAUGUACCCUAUGAAUAAGGACCGGCUAAUUCCGUGCCAGCAGCCGCGGUAAUACGGAAGGUCCGGGCGUUAUCCGGAUUUAUUGGGUUUAAAGGGAGCGUAGGCCGGAGAUUAAGCGUGUUGUGAAAUGUAGACGCUCAACGUCUGCACUGCAGCGCGAACUGGUUUCCUUGAGUACGCACAAAGUGGGCGGAAUUCGUGGUGUAGCGGUGAAAUGCUUAGAUAUCACGAAGAACUCCGAUUG